GAGAGAUCAGGUGGCAGCAGACAAAAGAAGGAAAAGCAGCAGUGGGCAAAGCCUCCAGGUACUGAUCAAGCCCAACAUGACAUUUUGAUGCCUCAGGUGAAGGACAAGAUGGCAUUCCCUCAAAUCCAGGCGUUUAAACUAUUUUUUCAA